AGAGUUUGAUCMUGGCUCAGAUUGAACGCUGGCGGCAUGCCUUACACAUGCAAGUCGAACGGCAGCACGGGAGCAAUCCUGGUGGCGAGUGGCGAACGGGUGAGUAAUACAUCGGAACGUGCCCUGUCGUGGGGGAUAACUAGUCGAAAGAUUAGCUAAUACCGCAUACGACCUGAGGGUGAAAGCGGGGGACCGYAAGGCCUCGCGCGAUAGGAGCGGCCGAUGUCUGAUUAGCUAGUUGGUGRGGUAARAGCUCACCAAGGCGACGAUCAGUAGCUGGUCUGAGAGGACGAUCAGCCACACUGGGACUGAGACACGGCCCAGACUCCUACGGGAGGCAGCAGUGGGGAAUUUUGGACAAUGGGGGCAACCCUGAUCCAGCAAUGCCGCGUGUGUGAAGAAGGCCUUCGGGUUGUAAAGCACUUUUGUCCGGAAAGAAAUGGCCCUGGCUAAUACCCGGGGUCGAUGACGGUACCGGAAGAAUAAGCACCGGCUAACUACGUGCCAGCAGCCGCGGUAAUA
rnacentral:rRNA from 1 species